AUUGAACGCUGGCGGCAUGCUUUACACAUGCAAGUCGAACGGUAACAGGCCGCAAGGUGCUGACGAGUGGCGAACGGGUGAGUAAUGCAUCGGAACGGGCCCAGUCGUUGGGGAUAACUACUCGAAAGAGUAGCUAAUACCUCAUACGAUCUAUGGAUGAAAGCGGGGGACCGUAAUGCCUCGCGCGAUUUGAGCGGCCGAUGUCAGAUUAGGUAGUUGGUGGGGUAAAGGCUCACCAAGCCAACGAUCUGUAGCUGGUCUGAGAGGACGACCAGCCACACUGGGACUGAGACACGGCCCAGACUCCUACGGGAGGCAGCAGUGGGGAAUUUUGGACAAUGGGCGCAAGCCUGAUCCAGCAAUGCCGCGUGCAGGAAGAAGGCCUUCGGGUUGUAAACUGCUUUUGUAAGGAACGAAACGGCUCUGGUUAAUACCCGGGGCUAAUGACGGUACCGUAAGAAUAAGCACCGGCUAACUACGUG
rnacentral:rRNA from 1 species